rnacentral:rRNA from 1 species
AGAGUUUGAUCCUGGCUCAGAUUGAACGCUGGCGGCAUGCCUUACACAUGCAAGUCGAACGGCAGCGGGCCUUCGGGUGCCGGCGAGUGGCGAACGGGUGAGUAAUGCAUCGGAACGUGCCAUUGAGUGGGGGAUAACGUAGCGAAAGUUACGCUAAUACCGCAUAUUCUGUGAGCAGGAAAGCAGGGGGACCGCAAGGCCUUGCGCUCUUUGAGCGGCCGAUGUCAGAUUAGCUAGUUGGUGAGGUAAAGGCUUACCAAGGCGACGAUCUGUAGCGGGUCUGAGAGGAUGAUCCGCCACACUGGAACUGAGACACGGUCCAGACUCCUACGGGAGGCAGCAGUGGGGAAUUUUGGACAAUGGGCGCAAGCCUGAUCCAGCCAUGCCGCGUGAGUGAAGAAGGCCUUCGGGUUGUAAAGCUCUUUCGGUGGGGAAGAAAUUGCACGGGUUAAUACCCUGUGUAGAUGACGGUACCCGACUAAGAAGCACCGGCUAACUACGUG